ACAACAACAUUCGGACCGUCGGUCUACCGAGCAAUAUCACCCGCUCGGUGGAAGAUCUUCCCUUCGUCGUUAAGA
rnacentral:pre_miRNA from 1 species